UGUCCAUUGGAGCAGCAUAAACCCAGUUAUUUGUUGUAACUCCUUGCAAAACAUUUGUUUUUUUUUAAGCGGUCUGUUUACUUGCAGGCAGAAGAGAUGCUUAUUUCAGUCUCCAUCCAACGGGAGGGAAUUUUUCUUUUCUUUUUAAAAAGGACGGAAUAUGGCAAUAUUGAAGAUCCUCUCCCGGACGAAAAAAAGCGGACAAGCACAGAGAGAGAAACAAGAGAGACAAGUCAAGACAACAGAAACCGGAGAGAAGUAAUCAGAACAGAGAGGAGAUGGAUGGAGCGUUGGAGAGGAGGACAUGAGCGCCUUAAGCCACUGUGACUGCUGGGAAUAUCUCCUGUACUGAAGAAUUUUGUGUUUGAUGCGUCGCCCCCAUCUGGUCACAAGAAUAACUGCACUGCAUUCAUAUGACAGAUAGGUCGUGCUGCUCAGGCGUGGCCUGUUCACUCUGUUUCAUCACCUUAAUAAUGUUUUGCGGGUUUUUCAGCAGUGUGCUUAGGCCUGUUUGGAUCACAGACACCUUCUGUUGUUCCAAUGCAGCUGUCUGCCAGCAGCAGCACAGAUGCAAAACUCCUAUUGAUGCCAAUGUGGUAUUAGCAAAAAAGUCCAAUUUAUUUCUCUUUUACAGAAAAAAUUGAAAGUCAUUAUCUCAUAAUACACCUGUGAAAGUUAAGAUUUUCCUCUCCUU